rnacentral:lncRNA from 1 species
AAAUUGAAAUAAGUGCAGUCGCUGCUAGUACAAAUUCAAAUCAGCUUGUUUUCAAGAUAAUGAUCAAGUAUGAAUCUUUUUCUGAAUUCCUCCCAUAUGAGAAAAGUUUUCCUUUUGGGCAGAAUCUUUCGGUGCUUGGAGCUGGAUUUCUGACCUUGUGAUUGAAUCUCCAAUGGCUGAGAUAUUGGUAAGUUUAGCCGCUUUUUUACUUUAAUUUCUAAGUUUGAUGCUUGGCUGGUCGUACUGCAAUUUCUGAGAUUGAUAAGCCUAUCUAGGUCCAGUGAAUAAUAUAGUUAAUAAUUGACAUAAAUCCUGUCUGUAUCAUGGUAGCAACUAGCAGUUAAAGAAACUAUUAAGUUUGGCAGCUUCUUGGUUUAGAGAUAAUGGUGGUGGAGCCAAUGCAAUAAGAAAUGCAUUCUUUAAAAUAAGCCACUGAUUAAUAAAACAGAAAACUAUUGGACACUUUAAAAAAGAAAAUUAGGGUGAAGCUGAAUCUUUAUUCUUAUGAGGUAACAGGAGGAUUUCUUGUUGUCACAGUUCAAACCAAAAAUAUUCUAAGACCAUGCAUAAAUGAAUCAAUAAACACCCUCCUCCUAGGAAUUGUGAGAUUAAAUAAUAAAUUCAUACAGCUUUUUCUUAGCAGACAGCCUGUUUUUGUUUCUUAUUUUAUUCAAAGGUUUGAAUUUUCUAGUUCAAAUAAUGCCUCCUAUGAUUUGAUAAUAUAUUAAUCUUCAUUUUGCCAUGAUUUGUCUUUGUCAUCAACCAAAUUAUUCGGUUGAAUUAAUUGAUAACUCAUUCGAUUGGGUUGUGGCUUAAUUAAUAUUACUAUUUAUUUAAUUUUAAAUCUGUUUUUCAAAUAUUGAAACACAUGCUUUUCACUAAAUUGAUUAAUUAAUCCCAAUCCAAAAUUUUUAACAUUGGAGCUUACUAUGAAAGCUGUUUUGAUAUAUAUUUAAUGGGAUUAUAAUUUUUUCACUAGUAUCAAGGGACUUGUUUUGAGAGAAGCUUUUCAACCUUAAAGUAUCGUGUGUUGGUUCCCCCUCAAUGAUGGUCUUGUUCAUGCUGGGUUUUGUCUCCCGCUUCUCCUGAAAAGUCUUGAGGAGUUUCGGCUGGUAUUAUCUAUACCCAUAAAUGUUAUAUAAAGAUUUAGGUUCAAACCUCCUUAUAAGACCAAAUAUUUACAUUCUUUUAGUGGGUGAGGUGCUUCUUUAUAAUUAAAACAAAACUCAAAGUAUAAAAUCGAGCAUAGAUGCCCUAAAUACAAUACUGACUACCAUUGAGAAAUCUGUCGACUCCCAACAAAUGAUAUUUCGAAGACUUCUCCAAGAACAAGCUCAUCCUCCCCUCAACAAUAGUGAUGUGAUGGGUUGAUAUUAGACUUGCUCAUGAGUCAGUCAAUUAUUUGUCCAGACUCAAAGACAUCCUACUAUAAAUAUGGUUCGGGUAAAAUUUAAGGCUUGUUUUUUUAUAUGAACCAAGCCUUGGGCAAGUAUUUUGGCCCAAUGCCAACUCAUCCUCAACUGAAUACAUUAUAUUAUAAAAAUAAUUAUGUUAAUUAUAUAUGUUAAAUAAUAAUAUUUAUAUUUAUAUUUAUAUUUAUAUUAAAUCACUAAUACAAUAACAAUUAUAUCCAUUACCCAAAACUUAAAAAAUACUUACCCAACUAAAUAAUCCAACCCAAAAUAUAAACUAUUUAUGUUCUUUAAUAUAAUAAAAUUUUAUUAUAUUUAUGGUAGUAUUUUUUAAUAUAAAGUUAAAAAACUUUUAUUUUAACAUUUUUAGUGCAUUCAGUGUAUUAUAUUUAAAAAAAUUAUAAAAAAUUAUUUUUAAAUAAAAAUUAAUUUUAAAAAAGUCAAAUAUAGACGGGUUAGGUUAAGCCCAAAUUUACAUAUUUCUUCAUUUGAGUCAAGUUUAAACAAAAAAUUAAACCCAUUUUUAGAGCUAAAUUAGACCCGAACUUAAAAUUUCAAUCUAAAUAUUUUACAUGUAACUAACCUAAACCCAGCACAGUGAAUGAAAAUCCUACAAAUAAAAUUUGAGAUAAUAAUAUUAUAUAGUUAUAUAUGGCAAAUCACAGUAUGAACAGAGACAGAAGAAAAGUCUUUGAUAUUUAGAACAAUAAGUAUUUAUUAUAUUUUUUUAUGUUUUUCUAAUAUAAUAUAACAUUUAUUAUAUUUAUGGUAAUAUUUUUUAAUAUAAAGUUAAAAAGUUUUUAUUUUAAUAUUUUUAGUGCAUUUAGUAUAUUAUAAUUUUUUUUAAAAUUUUAUUUUUAAAUAAAAAUUAAUUUAGAAAAAGUCAAAUAUGAACAAAUUGUGCUAGAUUCAAAUUUACAUUUCUUAAUUUGAGUCAAGUUUGAACAAAAAAGUAAACCCAUUUAUAGAUCGUUAGAUUAGAUCCAAACUUAAAAAUUAAAUAUUUUGCAUAAAACCAACCUGAACCAGAACAGUCAAUGAAUAAUCCUAUAAAUAAAAUAUGAGAUAAUAAUAUUAUAUAGAUAUACACAGUAUGAACAGAGACAGAAGAAAAGUCUUUGACACAAGAAAAGUCUUUUUGUUGACGAUAUUGUGAAUCCAUAGUAGGUUAGUACUCCAAGUAAAUUUUUGUUGAUGGUGAUGGGUUUUAAGUUUUAAAUAAGAAAUGAAAGUUGUUCACACUAUAAAAAAGGGUACGUGCAAGUGGAGAUUUAAGAGUAGGUUUGAGGGGCAAGUAAACAUAUCUUUAUUAUAUAACUUGUAAUAUAAGAUAUUAUUAUAAGUCAUUUGAUUCACCGCAUCCCAGCUGAAAGUUGUUUGAACCCAGAAUAGGAUGCAAUUGAUUUGACUUUGAACAGUUGAGAAAUUCUCAUUGGUGGUUUGUCCUUGAUUACAACAACAACCCACAUUCAUCCCUGGUCUUUUUAACCUUACUUUCGGAGUCCCUACAGCCAAAUCUUUCAAACUCGUUUAAUAAACGUUGAAUAAAGAAACAAUUUAAUCAACACCAACUAGCCCAGUCUUCGAGCUCCCUCCACAUGCAGAACAAAUUUUGCAUUUAUAUAUACAUGCACAUUAGGUUGUGAAAUUAAGCAGUCAAGGAGAUUUAAAGGUUAGAGAUGCAAUGGAAUCCUGUCGCAAGGGAGAUGGUGUAUAUUUCAUUUAUGAAUUGAGAUAGACACACCGUCUCUCUGCGCCAGGAUUCAGUGCUAACCUCUAAUCUUAUCGGGGUUCCUUGCUUUGUCUGCAGACUUUACAAGGUUAGUGCACACUAUACAUAUCUAUAUCUAUUCCAUCUUUUUUAUGGUUUAGAGAAAACUGCAGGCAGGGAUAGACGAAUGGAUUCGAGUCCCAAACGUAUUGAGUUAGUUGCAUCAAGUACUUGAAUCAAGCAUCGGGUUCAUGUCUUUUGAAUUUUUUUUUUAUAUAUACAAUUACUAAUCAUAUAUAAUCUCUCUAAAAUUUUAAAUUAAAAUAAUAUGUAUUAAAAUACGUCUAAAUCCAUAUCUUCUUAAUUACUACAGCAAUAGUAUCAACUAAGCUAAGACUUGAUCUAUGAAUACAUUUCUUGAUCUGUUUCAAAUUCUCUUAGCUCAUAUUUCAUUGUAUGAUCAAUAAUUCUCCAAAUCAAAUGCAUAAUAGUUCUUAAUUUAUUUUCUUAAAGACUUGUGCAUUCGUAAUGUUAAGAUUAAGGGCAGUACCCAGUUCUCCAUUAGCAUACAUGAAACCUUUUGUAAAUAUUAAGUGGUUUCAUCUACGAUAUUUAAGUAAUUAAAGUCUUCAUGUGCCGGAGAUUUCUCAAAAUUCAUAUUAAAGAGAGGAAGGUUUACACAAGGGGUGUGUUAAUGAGUUUGUAUUUAAACUUAAUUAGUGACGCAAUAUUAACACUGGUGUUUCUACAAUUACCGUACCUGAAUGAGGUAUUGAUUAUUCUGAUAGAAGAAGGGUGACGCUUUCUUUAUAAAAUCAUAUUGCAAUCAGUCUUAGAUGUUAAUUUGUCUAUCAGCAAAGGUAUUUUGAUACGAAGAAGGUUCAUUCUUUAUUUGUAAUUUGUAUUGAAAUUUAAGUUGGAAAUAAAGUUAACACAUGAUUUAGACGUAGGAUCAUAUUGAAAUCUGGACACUCUAACAUCUCAACCUUUUUUAGCUUACUAAUUUUCAAUUAAUUUUUAAGUAAUACAUUUUUAAUUAUUUUUUACCUAUUAUUAAUAAUGAUAAUUUCUCUUUAACUUUUAAACAAUAUACAAAUUCAAAAUUACAUAAGAAAAUAAAGUAUAAUUUUAAUUUGAAAACAAUUAAAAAAUAGGUUAAUUAAGCAUUAAUGAUAAACAUAAAAUAUAUUAUUUUAAAUUGAUAAAAAUAAAUUUGAUACAAUUAUUUACUUCAAAUUUUUAAUUAAUAAUUUCAAAUUAAAUUAUACUUAUUUUAAAAGUUAAUUAAAUAAUAUCAUGAAAAAUAAAAGAGUAUUGUUAUCAAUUUAAAAGUUUUCUCAGGCUCAUCUUUUUAUAGAUAAUUAAUACAGUCAAUUAAUUAAUGGCAAUACUCUCCCAACUCCAAAAUGUUAUUGAAAUGUAAUUUUAAUAUUAACAAGUUAAAUCUUAUUAAAUUUUAUUAUAUUUCAUAUUAUCCAAUUUUAAUAUAAUUAGUUGAUUUUCAGAUUGUCAUCUCCUUGUUAUGACACUUAAUUAGAAACGUUAAUGAAUUAGAUGGAUCUUAUUUAAGUUGCUCAUUUUGAUUUAAAUAAUUAUAAAUUAUAUAUAUAUAUAUUCAUUUCACCUAUUAGAGUAGGAAAUUUGUAGGUGGACUUGAGUAGUAAUAUUUAAUUAUUGAUAUAGGCAAGCAAAUUGGUAACAUGAAAGAUGGUCAACUUUGUUGAAUAUUUAAUUAUGAUGCCUUUUAGGGUUGUUUCUUUGUAGAAUUUCUUUUUCGGCCGCUCUUCCUACAUUUUUCCAUAGAAAAACAAAAUUACUUCUCUUUUGUUUUCAAUAAUAGGAAUUAUAGCCUCCCCAUCAUGCAUGCAGUCAACUAUGUUAUCACAUCAUCCCUUUAUCAAAUUUUCACAUUUUAUGACGAUAUGUGUACCUUAACAAAUUAAUAAGAGAUGCUGUAAUAGAUUUUAUAUACAUUGCUAAUGAAGCUUUGGUUUAAUAUAAGGCAAUUAAUUGUAGUUAUGCUUAAAUGAUUGGUUUUGAUUAUAAAAUUCAAAUAUAUGUAGAAUAUAUCAAAUACCAACUUUAUUUAUUAUUUUAUUAUAAAGAAAAAAAAAAGCAAUGUAGAAGAAAUAAAAGGUGAAGCCUUUGCGCUAUAAAUAGGUGUGCUGGGGGGAGAGAGGGCAAGAAUGCAAGUGAAAGAGAAAGGGGAGGCGAAGGUAUGAUGUCGCAGGAGGGUUGACACUGCCAAUUUAAGCCAUUGCUAUUUACCCUCACUGUCAGUGUCAUCCUUCUGCGUCAUUAUACCUUUCCACUUCCUUUUUUAUUCAGUUUGCCGAUCGCUAUUUCAGGUAUGCAACACUGAUUAUCUCUUCUUCUUUUUAUUGUUAUUAUUAGGGGAGAUUUUAAUUUUUAACUCAGUUUUUGGUUCCAGAUUGUGUGUAUUUUAUUCGAUACACCAAAAUAUUUUGAAUAUGAUAUAAAUAUGAUUUUUUUUAAUAAAAACGGGUUAAUACAAACUUAAAAAAAAUAUGAAAUUAUUCCUAUUUUAUGGAGUAAAUUGUAUUUUUAGGGUGUGUUUGUGAUUUUAUAUUUUUAUAUAGAAAAAUAAAUAGGAUUUGAAUUUUAAAAAAUGUCUUUUUAGUUUUUCAUUUUUGUACUUUAUCAAUUAAAGCUUCAUUUUAUAGAAAAAGGGAAUAGCAGAAGGUAUCCAUGACCGAUUUAUUAAAUUUUUUUUUUUUUAAAAAAAGAGGGUGUAGGACAUUGUAACACAUUUCAGGAUUAUGUAAUUGUAUGAUUGCAAUGAUUGGGUAUGUAUAAAGUGGCGCUGUGAAAUGAAUUAGUCAACAAAUCAUAGUUGUCAAGUUCCACACUAAUUAAUGCAUGCUUACUUUUGGCCAACAUUGGAAGAAACAUUUUUCAUUCGCUUUCAAUAUAAACAUUUGUAUAUAUUUUUUCUCCAAAUUUUCAACCACAAAUAACAAUAAUUAUUAUGUUAUUUUAAAAAUUUAUAAAUAGGUUUAUGAGUUUUACGUACCCAUUAAAGCCUCAAAUAAUUUUUUUACACAUGUCUCACUCAAGUAUGAAAUUAAAAUUCUUUUAAACUAUUUUUUAAAAAGGAAAAAGAAAAUCAACUUUCGGCUACUUUUCAUUGAUCUUGAUGCAUAGUACUUCAAAGCUAUUUUUUCCAACGUCGACUUUAUUUAGUUACCGGGAAACUAUAUUUAUUGCAUUGCAUUUAUCCCACUUCGACUUUUAUUUUUUUCCUUUUAAUUUGGAGAGACUAAAAAGUUUAUUAGAUAAAUUUUUGUAAUAAAUAAAAUUAUCACGUGUAAAAAUAAAAAGAUUCUGGGUAAAAAAAUAAAUUAUAAAUUUAUUUAACUACAAAAUAAAUUGUCAAAAUCAAAAUAAAUUUAGAUAAAGUUUACACAUGAUGAGAACAUGAGAUGUCAAAAUUUUGACUGAAUUAGUAUCAUCUAUUAAUUAAGUCCUAACUUGAUUAUGAAAUUGUCAAAAAGUCUUUAUUUUUAUAAAAUAACAUAGUAAUAUUAUAAAAUUUUAUUAUUUUUAAUUAAUUUCUAAUAAUUUUUCAUAAAUUUUAAUGAGCUUUCUUUUUUUUUUUAUAAACUUUUUAUGUUUUCUUUCUAUUUUUAGAAUGAGUUUAGACAAAUAACGGUUCAAGUUUAAAUGAAAGUGGACAAUUUUUUUUUUUUUUUGUAAAUAACGUGACACUACCACGUUAAUAAAUCAGUGUUGAAGCAACAUCUAUUAAUAGCCACAUCAAUGUUGUUGUUAAAUCUUAACUAUCAAUAUCAAUCAAAGGGCUUGUUUAGUCAAUUUUGUUAAUUUAAGAUUUAAUUAGGUGUAAAAGGUAAUUUAAAGAGACUUAAUUGAUUGUUUUGAUAAAGUUUGAGAGUUUAUUUUAAUAGAGUAUACGUAUAAAUGGUAGGGUGGCCAUAUAUAUGUUUAACAAGUAGUAUUAAAAAUCUAUUGUAUGACUAUAUUUUUAAUUAGUUGUUUUCAGAAAAAGUUGAAAAGAUGAGCAUCAUUUGACACAGAACUAAACAGUGAUGUUUCAGUUAAAGUUAAUAAUACCAAAAUUCAGGCACGAGACUAACCACAUUACUCCCUAAACAAGCCAUGAAUUUUGCAGAGCUGAGAGAUAAAGAAUGUGAUCACAGCACCUGCUUUUUCAAUUUGAUUCACGUGAUUGUGCCUCCAAGCCAAGCCAGUAAGCCUGAUUAGUGAAUGGUAAUGGACAAGGUUACAUAAUCCAUUUUCAUGUUUCUCCUGCACACAUAUUCUAACAUUUAAAUCAUGUGGUGACGUACCUAUUUCUUUCACUUUGUAAACAACACCUUAGUUUAGUUACGUAAAGAAAUUUCAUGGUUUUAGAAUAAGAACUUAAGUCCCAUCUUUUACCCUACACUUGUAAUCCAAAAAGGUUAGAAACGUAAGAUAGUUUAAUAAUAAAAUUUUGAUUUUAGCUAAAAUUAUCAUGUUUAGGCGUAAGUGAUUAAAAUAAGAAUAUUUUGAAUUAAUUUAUUUUUAUAUGAAAAUAUAGCACAAAAAAUUCCUGAUUUGUGGUACUCAAAUCAAAAUUUUAAAUAAGAGUAUAGAUAAGUGAAGAAAGAAAACCAUGUCGACUGCAAGGCAAAUAAAUUCUAUUGUUAAAAAUUUGCUUCAAUUUGUGAUGGUUACAUAACACUACAAAUAUAAUAUAUAUAUUAUCUAUCAGUGAACCAUCUGCGAUCAUAACUCUAUUAAUUGAUAUCCAUCAAUGAAUCCAAGCUUCCUGCCUCUUGCCAGAAGUAAUACUGAAUAAUGGAUAUGGAUGCAUCGUAUGAAGACCAAGUCUUCGUCUUCGUCUUCAUCAUUGUCUUUGUCUUCUGAGAUAUGUAUAACCGAACACUAAUUGGUUUGAAUGCCCCCCUAAUCAAGUUUCCGAUGGUAUUAUUAUUUGCAUUGUCGUGGUCGGAAAUUGUUGUCGGAUAGAAGAGCGCUAAUCAAAGUUUCCAACCUUGUUGCUCCAGGGCCAGGCUUGAUGACGGUUGUAUUACCAAUAACGGAACAAGGAUCACUCCCAUUUUUCCCACUUCCUACACACCAACCACCAGGAGUGAACAUGUCUGGACCACGAGACAAGAGGUCAGAGUCGAUUUUGUCUAGCGCUGCAGGAUC